CUAAUCAGCUAGGUGCCGGUAGUGGAUUAGCGAGUUCACACCAAGGAAAAUGGUUGCGAAAAACGGCCGUCGCUUAGACAUCGUCCAGCGAUUCUAGAUGCCUAUGAUAGAAUGCUAUGUUUCUAGGCAUUGUGUAUUCGUGUGAGAUGAGACCAAUCCCACUGUGAGAGGGGUUGAUGGCAAAAACUAUGCAUCCAGUGGCGAAAGAUCACAAAACGCAGGUGAUGGACUCAUCCUAGAUUGUGAGUUGGACCUCAUUGUCAUGGUAACACUGGAUGAUUUGGUCUGUGAUCCUGUACUUCCUUUCCUGGGUGGAGUGUCCUGUUCGGAUGAAAUACUGGACCUACUAUUGUGUCUAGCGUCAGGGUACUCCCUAUCACUGGCCUCAGAGCCGCCAUCUGAGGGGUGUCGAAUAAGUGGAUCAUCAAGCUGCCCACCAGCGUAAGAAUUUAAUGGAUGCAUUGUCUCAAAAUUAAUUUCCCUUGUACGGGUUACAAGACCCCCUUCACUUCUGCCAUCAAUGUUAUAGCUGUCCUCAAUACCCUUGAGGCGUUUGGCUGAGUAGGCCCCAUAUUUUACAUCCCUGUCGAUGUGACUAUCGUAGUCAUCUGCAACAACUUUUCCAUUUACUGUGCGAGUGUGGCGCACUUCCGUUUUUGUUAUUGUCUCAAACCGAGGAUUAUACAUGGCUAGGAUGAUCCAGUGAGUUGGCUGUUACUAUGUCAUCAGAAUUAUCUGAAAUUAAAAAAAAAAGAUAUGAAACAUCAUAAGUAAAUGACUUAAACAAAAUGACUGUAUAUAAUCUGUAUGCAUUAGGGCAAUUACAAGAAGGCACUGGUAUACUUGAGCUUGAUAACAUAUGAUAAUUUUGUACUUUCAAUCAAGUACUUUCAAUGGAAUUUGCUAAGAUGAUACAUUCCUCAUGCUACUUGUUUUUCAGUCACCGCAGAUAAAACUAUUUUAACCAUUGACUUUCAAGAUAACUUAUAUAUUGACUGUUAUCCUGAUUGCUACUAAAAAAGAAACAGGGUUUUUUUUAAUUCAAAGGGUGGUCUUAAAAGUGACUUUAAAAGUGUCACUCUGAUAAAAUUCGAUUGACAAAUGGAUGGUUUAUUCUCAGAAUUAUAGUUAAACUCAUAUUGUUGUUGCUGGGUCAAAGCCUAUCUCUUCUCAGAUUAUCAAUCAAUGCAAGCAUAGUCAGUCUGUGAUAGGGUUAACAAUCGCUGAUGCCAAACAGACAGGAAUAUAUACAAUAUAAUUCAGCAUAUUCAAGAUACAGGCUUUCUCUGACAGAGUGUCAUAGCAGUAAUAAGGCUAAAUUGCAAAUGAUUUCCUAAAUGUGCUCCAAGAAUUUGUACCAAAACAUGGAAUAGAGGGAAUGGAGUUAAUAAAACAAUAUAUGUCUUUUGACAGAUUUUUUUAUUCUGUACAAAAUCUGAAGCUAAUGAAAAAUUCACUAGGUAUCCAGACAAAACUCAGACGUAAUUAAAAUCUAUUUAGGUUAGUAUAAACAUGGUCUACUAGACGCCAUAAAUUGACAGUUUAGACUGAAGGUUGUAUGACACAACAGUCACAGAAAAUACUAGAUCUGAUAGUAUCAUUAUAUGAGUCAAAUGAAAACCAAAACCCAUGGGAACUCAUAAAAUUUCUAAUUUUCAGAGACGGUUAGGCAGCUUUUAUUGUGACAAACUCCAUCAGGCAAGCUGUCAGAUUAGGGGUUUUUUAGUCCUUAUAAAAGCACUUCGAAGGGUGUUGUAUGUCACAAUAGGAAAGAUUAAAAUGUGAUAGAAUCA